AUUGAACGCUGGCGGCAUGCCUUACACAUGCAAGUCGAACGGUAACAGGUCUUCGGAUGCUGACGAGUGGCGAACGGGUGAGUAAUACAUCGGAACGUGCCCGAGAGUGGGGGAUAACGAGGCGAAAGCUUUGCUAAUACCGCAUACGAUCUCAGGAUGAAAGCAGGGGACCGCAAGGCCUUGCGCUCACGGAGCGGCCGAUGGCAGAUUAGGUAGUUGGUGGGAUAAAAGCUUACCAAGCCGACGAUCUGUAGCUGGUCUGAGAGGACGGCCAGCCACACUGGGACUUGGACACGGCCCAGACUCCUACGGGAGGCAGCAGUGGGGAAUUUUGGACAAUGGGCGAAAGCCUGAUCCAGCCAUGCCGCGUGCAGGAUGAAGGCCUUCGGGUUGUAAACUGCUUUUGUACGGAACGAAAAGACUCCUUCUAAUAAAGGGGGUCCAUGACGGUACCGUAAGAAUAAGCACCGGCUAACUACGUGCCAGCAGCCGCAGUAACAC
rnacentral:rRNA from 1 species